CUCUGAGAACAUAUAAUGCAGGCCAUCAUGCUGCAUAGGAAGCUUUGUAUCACUCAAGGGCAUGACCAUGCUCUCCCUAGCUCAUCUCAGUUUUCUUCUCCUCUGUAUUUCUGAUUCUAGGGCAGAGACAACUGUGACACAGUCUCCAGCAUCCCUGUCCAUGGCUGUAGGAGAAGAAGUCACUAUCAGUUGCAUAACCAGCACAGAUAUUAAUGAUGAUAUGAACUGGUACCAGCAGAAGCCAGGGGAAGCUCCUAAGCUCCUUAUUUCAGAAGGCAAUACUCGUCGUCCUGGAGUCCCGACCAGGUUCUCCAGUAGUGGCUAUGGCACAGAUUUUACUUUUACAAUUGAUAACAUGCUCUCAGAAGAUGCUGCAGAUUACUACUGUCAGCAGAGUUAUAGCAUGCCUCUCACAGUGCUAUAUCCUCUUACAGAAACCUGCAGAUGCUGUUGGUGA